CAGACCUCUGAUCAGAAAAGACUACCCGCUGAGUU
rnacentral:rRNA from 1 species